rnacentral:rRNA from 1 species
AUUGAACGCUGGCGGCAGGCCUAAUACAUGCAAGUCGAACGGUAACAGGAAGAAGCUUGCUUCUUUGCUGACGAGUGGCGGACGGGUGAGUAAUGUCUGGGAAACUGCCUGAUGGAGGGGGAUAACUACUGGAAACGGUAGCUAAUACCGCAUAACGUCGCAAGACCAAAGAGGGGGACCUUCGGGCCUCUUGCCAUCGGAUGUGCCCAGAUGGGAUUAGCUAGUAGGUGGGGUAACGGCUCACCUAGGCGACGAUCCCUAGCUGGUCUGAGAGGAUGACCAGCCACACUGGAACUGAGACACGGUCCAGACUCCUACGGGAGGCAGCAGUGGGGAAUAUUGCACAAUGGGCGCAAGCCUGAUGCAGCCAUGCCGCGUGUAUGAAGAAGGCCUUCGGGUUGUAAAGUACUUUCAGCGGGGAGGAAGGGAGUAAAGUUAAUACCUUUGCUCAUUGACGUUACCCGCAGAAGAAGCACCGGCUAACUCCGUG